GAGCGGAUGAACUGAGGGUAGCGGAGAAAUUCCAAUCGAACCUGGAGAUAGCUGGUUCUCUCCGAAAUAGCUUUAGGGCUAGCCUCAAGUGAUGAUUAUUGGAGGUAGAGCACUGUUUGGACGAGGGGCCCCUCUCGGGUUACCGAAUUCAGACAAACUCCGAAUGCCAAUUAAUUUAACUUGGGAGUCAGAACAUGGGUGAUAAGGUCCGUGUUCGAAAGGGAAACAGCCCAGACCACCAGCUAAGGUCCCAAAAUAUAUGUUAAGUGGAAAAGGAUGUGGCGUUGCCCAGACAACUAGGAUGUUGGCUUAGAAGCAGCCAUCAUUUAAAGAGUGCGUAAUAGCUCACUAGUCGAGUGACACUGCGCCGAAAAUGUACCGGGGCUAAACAUAUUACCGAAGCUGUGGAUUGUCCUUUGGACAAUGGUAGGAGAGCGUUCUAAGGGCGUUGAAGCAUGAUCGUAAGGACAUGUGGAGCGCUUAGAAGUGAGAAUGCCGGUGUGAGUAGCGAAAGACGGGUGAGAAUCCCGUCCACCGAUUGACUAAGGUUUCCAGAGGAAGGCUCGUCCGCUCUGGGUUAGUCGGGUCCUAAGCUGAGGCCGACAGGCGUAGGCGAUGGAUAACAGGUUGAUAUUCCUGUACCACCUAUAAUCGUUUUAAUCGAUGGGGGGACGCAGUAGGAUAGGCGAAGCGUGCGAUUGGAUUGCACGUCUAAGCAGUAAGGCUGAGUAUUAGGCAAAUCCGGUACUCGUUAAGGCUGAGC
rnacentral:rRNA from 1 species